CCUCUUUUCUACAGGGAAUAAGAACCUGAAGGUACCUGAGGAAUCAGCAUCGGCUAACUCCGUGCCAGCAGCCGCGGUAAUAUCGGAGGAUGCAAGCGUUAUCCGGAAUGAUUGGGCGUAAAGCGUCCGCAGGUGGUUUAUCAAGUCUGCUGCCAAAGAGUUUGGCUCAACCAAAUAAAGGCAGUGGAAACUGACAGACUGGAGUGCGGUAAGGGCAGAGGGAAUUCCUGGUGUAGCGGUGAAAUGCGUAGAGAUCAGGAAGAACACCGGUGGCGAGAAGCGCUCUGUCUGGNCCGNAACUGACACUGAGGGAGCGAAAGCUAGGGGAGCGAAUGGGAUUAGAUAGCCCC
rnacentral:rRNA from 1 species